ACAAGCGGUGGAGCAUGUGGUUUAAUUCGACGCAACGCGAGGAACCUUACCAGGGCUUGACAUCCUCUGACCGCAUAUGAAAGUAUGUUUUCUGGCUUCGGUCAGACAGAGAGACAGGUGGUGCAUGGUUGUCGUCAGCUCGUGUCGUGAGAUGUUGGGUUAAGUCCCGCAACGAGCGCAACCCCUACGUUUAGUUGCUAACGUGUAACGAUGAGCACUCUAGGCGGACUGCCGUUGACAAAACGGAGGAAGGUGGGGAUGACGUCAAAUCAUCAUGCCCCUUAUGUUCUGGGCUACACACGUGCUACAAUGGCCGGUACAAAGGGACGCAAAGCCGCGAGGUGGAGCAAAUCCGAUAAAAGCCGGUCUCAGUUCGGAUUGCAGGCUGCAAUUCGCCUGCAUGAAGUCGGAAUCGCUAGUAAUCGCAGGUCAGCAUACUGCGGUGAAUACGUUCCCGGGCCUU
rnacentral:rRNA from 1 species